rnacentral:rRNA from 1 species
GUACGGGGGGGGCAAGCGUUGUUCGGAAUUACUGGGCGUAAAGGGUUUGUAGGUGGCCGGCUAAGUCAGACGUGAAAUCCCUCAGCUUAACUGGGGAACUGCGUCUGAAACUGAUCGGCUCGAGUGCAGGAGAGGAACGCGGAAUUCCAGGUGUAGCGGUGAAAUGCGUAGAUAUCUGGAGGAACACCGGUGGCGAAGGCGGCGUUCUGGACUGCAACUGACACUGUAAAAACGAAAGCCAGGGGAGCAAACGGG